GCCAGGCGUGGAGGCGGGUGCCUGUAAUCCCAGCUACUCGGGAGGCUGAGGCAGGAGAAUCGCUUGCACCUGGGAGGCAGAGGCUGCAGUGAGCCGAGAUAGCACCACUGCACUCUAGCCCGGGUGACAGUGCGAGACCCUGUCUCAA
rnacentral:SRP_RNA from 1 species